rnacentral:rRNA from 1 species
AGCGAACGCUGGCGGCAGGCUUAACACAUGCAAGUCGAGCGGACAUCCUUGUGGUUUCCGCGGCAGACGGGUGAGUAACGCGUGGGAACGUGCCCUUCGGUUCGUACUAACUCGGGGAAACUUGAGCUAAUACCGGAGACGUGCGAGAGCAGAAUGUAUUAUCUCCCGUAGGUUCGGCGCGCGUCUGUUUAGCUGGGUGGUGAGGGUACGGCUCACCACGGCGACGACCAGUAGCUGGUGUGAGAGGAUGAUCAGGCACACUGGCGCUGAGACACGGCACAGACUCCUACGCGAGGGAGGAGUGGGGAAUAUAGGACCAUGGGGGCAGCCCUGAUGCAGCCAGGCCGGGUGAGUGAUGACGUCAUUAGGGUAGUAAAGCUCUUUUCGCCGUGCCGGUAAUGACGGUACCGGAGGAAUAAGCCCCGGCUAACUUCGUG